UACGAAGGGGGCUAGCGUUGCUCGGAAUCACUGGGCGUAAAGCGCACGUAGGCGGAUUGCUAAGUCAGGGGUGAAAUCCUGGAGCUCAACUCCAGAACUGCCUUCGAUACUGGCGACCUUGAGUCCGGGAGAGGUGAGUGGAACUCCGAGUGUAGAGGUGAAAUUCGUAGAUAUUCGGAAGAAACACCAGUGGCGAAGGCGGCUCACUGGCCCGGUACUGACGCUGAG
rnacentral:rRNA from 1 species